GACGAACGCUGGCGGCGUGCUUAACACAUGCAAGUCGAACGGAAAGGCCCUGCUUUUGUGGGGUGCUCGAGUGGCGAACGGGUGAGUAACACGUGAGUAACCUGCCCUUGACUUUGGGAUAACUUCAGGAAACUGGGGCUAAUACCGGAUAGGAGCUCCUGCUGCAUGGUGGGGGUUGGAAAGUUUCGGCGGUUGGGGAUGGACUCGCGGCUUAUCAGCUUGUUGGUGGGGUAGUGGCUUACCAAGGCUUUGACGGGUAGCCGGCCUGAGAGGGUGACCGGCCACAUUGGGACUGAGAUACGGCCCAGACUCCUACGGGAGGCAGCAGUGGGGAGUAUUGCACAAUGGGCGGAAGCCUGAUGCAGCAGCGCCGCGUGCGGGAUAACGGCCUACGGGUUGUGAACCGCUUUCGCCUGUGACGAAGCGUGAGUGACGGUAAUGAGUAAAGAAGCACCGGCUAACUACGUG
rnacentral:rRNA from 1 species